AGUGAACGCUGGCGGUAGGCCUAACACAUGCAAGUCGAACGGCAGCACAGUAAGAGCUUGCUCUUACGGGUGGCGAGUGGCGGACGGGUGAGGAAUACAUCGGAAUCUACUUUUUCGUGGGGGAUAACGUAGGGAAACUUACGCUAAUACCGCAUACGACCUACGGGUGAAAGCAGGGGAUCUUCGGACCUUGCGCGAUUGAAUGAGCCGAUGUCGGAUUAGCUAGUUGGCGGGGUAAAGGCCCACCAAGGCGACGAUCCGUAGCUGGUCUGAGAGGAUGAUCAGCCACACUGGACCUGAGACACGGUCCAGACUCCUACGGGAGGCAGCAGUGGGGAAUAUUGGACAAAGGGCGCAAGCCUGAUCCAGCCAUACCGCGUGGGUGAAGAAGGCCUUCGGGUUGUAAAGCCCUUUUGUUGGGAAAGAAAAGCAGCAGGUUAAUACCCCGCUGUUCUGACGGUACCCAAAGAAUAAGCACCGGCUAACUUCGUG
rnacentral:rRNA from 1 species